UAUUCAUCAAGCCAUAUCAUUUUAUCAUUAAUCGUUUCACUUUUACGUGUCGAAAUUGUGAAAAAAUAUUAUCGAAAUUUCCACUCAGUUGUAAAUACGUAAGGUAAAUUUCGUUGUGAUCUCUAUCGUCAUCAUGGUUUCAGUGCGCAGGCAAUUCGCCGCAUCGAAAGGUUGAGUUCGAACACGUUUUUUUGGACUUUCCGACAGACAGCAAAGAUCGGUACGAAAUGAUGAAAACACAGCCGCCAGUAUCGAGGUGGAAAAUUACUCGUACAAGAAACUUCAGUUAUUUUAAAAGUACGCUCCUAGUUGGAAUUCCACCUCACGGUUGAAAGCGAGGAUACUUGAAUGCUAUGUAUACAGUGCCCGUGAAAAUGGCAAAACACUCUCCUUUUUCAAGAAAUUCUCCUGAGUAGUUUGCUGAGCCUUUCUGGUAUAAUGCAGAGAGUGAUUAGGAACAAGUCCAAAACCGGAAGCUCGGCGUUUCAGUAUGCUUCUUCCAGUGGCGUGGUGUGGGUUUAGCGAAAAAGCCGGCAAUGCUUUAAUUUAUAGAGCUGAGCCCACGUGUUCUCAUACCAAAG